rnacentral:rRNA from 1 species
UACGGAGGGCGCAAGCGUUGUUCGGAAUCAUUGGGCGUAAAGCGCGUGUAGGCGGCCAGGUAAGUCGGGUGUGAAAGCCCGGGGCCCAACCCCGGAACUGCACUCGAUACUGCCUGGCUGGAGUCCCGGAGAGGAUGGCGGAAUUUCCGGUGUAGAGGUGAAAUUCGUAGAUAUCGGAAGGAACACCAGUGGCGAAGGCGGCCAUCUGGACGUUGACUGACGCUGAGACGCGAAAGCGUGGGGAGCAAACAGG